AACGCGAAGAACCUUACCUGGACUUGACAUGGCACUGCAAGCGCACGGAAACGUGUGACCUUCGAGGGUGUGCCACAGGUGCUGCAUGGCUGUCGUCGGCUCGUGUCGUGAGAUGUUGGGUUAAGUCCCGCAACGAGCGCAACCCCCGUGAUGUGUUGCUAACAUUCAGUUGAGGACUCACAUCAGACUGCCGGUGACAAACCGGAGGAAGGUGGGGAUGACGUCAAGUCAUCAUGGCCCUUACGUCCAGGGCUAGAAACGUGCUACAAUGGCGUACACAAAGGGAAGCAAGACCGCGAGGUGGAGCGAAUCUCAUCAAAGUGCGUCUAAGUUCGGAUCGCAGUCUGCAACCCGACUGCGUGAAGCUGGAGUUGCUAGUAAUCGCGGAUCAGAAUGCCGCGGUGAAUACGUUCCCGGGUCUUGUACACACCGA
rnacentral:rRNA from 1 species